UUGGGUGAAAGUGGAGCGGAGUGAAGUUAUUUUUCACCGUUAACGGUCAAUUUUGCUGUUUGAUUUGCUAAAUAAAGAUUUGGUCAAAAUUCGAGUUAUCGAAAAUAGCGCCUAGAGCCGAAGUCAAUUAUGAUGAAGAUAGGUAAAAAAAAUAAUAAAAUAAUAUAAUGGGUAAUGCUAGUUAUAUUUAAAUAUAUUUUAUUAUGAUACUGAUUAUUCUUUUAUUUAGUUUAUAUUUUUAAAAUAUAUUAAAAAUUAAUUAGUUAAGUUUUAAUAUUUUCUUAAUUUAGUUUAUAUAUUUAAAAUAUGAUAAAAAUUGAUUAUUUAAAUAUUAAUUUUUUUAUUUUAUAAUUUUACUAUUAUAUUAUUUUAAUUUAUAUAUAAAAAAAUAAUUUAGUUGUUUUAUAAUACAUUUUUUAAUUAUUAGAAAUAUAAUUAUUUUUUUAUUUAUUAUAUUAUAAUUUACUAUUUAUUUUAAAAUAUUUAUUAUUUAUAUAUAAUUAUAGUCUUAUAUUAUUCACUUCGUUCCAAACAAACAACAUAGCUUAAAAAACUUAACUUCCAUAAUUAUAAAAACAAACGGGGGAGCGAAGUAGUUUUUACUUGAACCCCACUUCAACCCAAAGUACAUUUCAAACUAAAGUUCAGUUUUGAUAAAAUAAAUAAACCCUUGAAGUAAUAUUUAUAUUUCACUCAUUCAAAGAUCAUUACUUUUUAAUUUAUCUUACCAUUUUUCUUUCAUAGUGAAAACCCAAAGGGUUUGAACCUUAGGUCAAGAGAGGCAUCAGAUUUAACUCUAUAUCCAUAUAUAAAGUUAGUAUUUUUCAUAUCAAAAUUUUACCCCAUUGUUUUUGCAUUUAGGGGCUAUUUGGAUGCAAAUAUAAAGACAUGGAGUUGGACAUAUAUACAGUUAAAAAUAUAAUAAUUAUAAUUAUAUAUUUUUUAUUUGAUUGGAUAUAGAGAAAAUAUUAAAAUUAUUAAAUAAUUUGAUUGGCUGGAUGUAGUUGAAAAUUAUAUUUAAAAAUUUUAUUAUUUCAUAUAUGUGGUUGUGAAAGCUUUUAUUAAACUAUACAUAAAUUAUGCACAAUUCUAGAUGCUGCCGUUGAGAUUUCUUGUGCAAUUUUAACUAUAGCAGUUAGAUUCAAGUGUACCAAAACAAAUGUUGUAUUUAAAUUUGUGUAAAAUUGAAAUUGCAGUGUGAUU
rnacentral:lncRNA from 1 species